CGGCCAGCUUUUCCCCUUCCCAGGCUCUACUUUUGAGGGGGGAAAAAAAUAAAAUAAAUGAUGCCUUUUUUUUUUUUUUUUUUUAAAAACAUUGAACCACCCUUUUUGAGAACCCAAAAAUUUAUCCAUCUAUCUCUCUUAUUUUCCUUAAAAAAAACAGAGAGAAAGCUCCCAAAUUUUCACUUAGACCCGCACCACCUUCAUCAGAGAUUCAGCGCGCCGAGGCUGCCGACGUCGGGAGUUCGUCAGUUCAGUUGAGCACAUCUCUGAUGUGGGCUAGUAGAGGAGCGCACGACGCGGAGGGACGCGCGAUGUGCGGUGCUUGGGAACCUCCACGGUUGCGGUGGCUGAGGGUGUUAGCUGCUAGGGUUUUCAUUUUCUUUAAUUUUGCUGGGCUGUUAGGGUUGUUUUGGGUUUAAGUUUGAUGGGUUUAGGGUUUGGGUAAUGGUUUGUAUUGCUAAUUGUUUUGGGUUUUAAAUGUAUUGGGCCCUGGGCAUAAAUUGGGCUUAACAAUGUCAAUAGGGGAAAAUAAAUAGAAUGAUAUUAUGAUUGGAACUGAAAAGUAUUGAACGUGAAAUGGAAUUAAGACAAAUGAAAUAUGCACUUUAUUGUGAAAAA